AACAUUGCGCCGAAAGAAUUUCGCGAGAGAAGCAACGGGGAAGACGAACGAAGUAUCAUCGCGUAAUACUGUUAAACGAGUCGAGUUCGCGAACUCGACUCGAAAUCAACGUUUUCCAACGCGAAGGACGACGAGGCGAUUUACCCACCC